GCAUAUCAAUAAGCGGAGGAAAAGAAACCAACAGGGAUUGCCUUAGUAACGGCGAGUGAAGCGGCAAAAGCUCAAAUUUGAAAUCUAGCACUUUCAGUGUUCGAGUUGUAAUUUGAAGAAGGUAACUUUGGAAUUGGCUCUUGUCUAUGUUCCUUGGAACAGGACGUCACAGAGGGUGAGAAUCCCGUGCGAUGAGAUGUCCAAUUCUAUGUAAAGUGCUUUCGAAGAGUCGAGUUGUUUGGGAAUGCAGCUCUAAGUGGGUGGUAAAUUCCAUCUAAAGCUAAAUAUUGGCGAGAGACCGAUAGCGAACAAGUACAGUGAUGGAAAGAUGAAAAGAACUUUGAAAAGAGAGUGAAAAAGUACGUGAAAUUGUUGAAAGGGAAGGGCUUGAGAUCAGACUUGGUAUUUUGUGUUCCUUAUCCUUCUUGGAUUAGGUUCCUCACAGCUUACCGGGCCAGCAUCGGUUUGGAUGGCAGGAUAAUGACAUUGGAAUGUAGCUUUGCUUCGGUGAAGUGUUAUAGACUUUGUUGAUACUGCCUAUCUAGACCGAGGACUGCGUCUUGAC
rnacentral:rRNA from 1 species